CCCGCCUGCCCUGUGACCACGUGUUUAACGGCCGCGGUAUUUUGACCGUGCGAAGGUAGCGCAAUCACUUGUCUUUUAAAUGAAGACCUGUAUGAAUGGCAUAACGAGGGCUAAGCUGUCUCCUUUUUCCAGUCAAUGAAAUUGAUCUACCCGUGCAGAAGCGGGUAUAAAAACAUUAGACGAGAAGACCCUAUGGAGCUUUAGACACAAGGACAGCCUAUGUUAAAAAACCUUAAUUAAAAGACUAAACCAAACAGCCCCUGUCCCCCUGUCUUUGGUUGGGGCGACCGCGGGGAAACAAAUAACCCCCACGUGGAACAAGGAAACCUCCUUUAAAACCAGGGCCACAGCCCUAAUAUACAGAACAUCUGACCAACAAGAUCCGGCACCGCCGAUCAACGGACCGAGUUACCCUAGGGAUAACAGCGCAAUCCUCUUUUAGAGCCCAUAUCGACAAGAGGGUUUACGACCUCGAUGUUGGAUCAGGACAUCCUAAUGGUGCAGCCGCUAUUAAGGGUUCGUUUGUUCAACGAUUAAUAGUCCUACGUGAUCUG
rnacentral:rRNA from 1 species